rnacentral:lncRNA from 1 species
GAGGUCUGUUGAUGUGAUCAAUUGCUUGAGUGAAGUCGCCAGAGUCUUUCAUCAGGCAUCUGCUCACAGAAGGAGGUGGACGUUUGACAGGAGAGGCGUGGAUGUGUCCAGCCAGUGGAACCUGGCGUCUGCUUGAAUGCCCGUCAACACUACCUUUUGCAGUAUGUCCACAGACCCCUUGAUUGAAAACCCUGGCUAUACGCUGAUAAUAUUCUACCAGAAUGUCAAGAAUAUCCAUUUUUUCUGCUUUCUGGUGACAUUUUGAUGCUUGUUGUAUUUAUGUCCCUAACCAUACAGACUCAAACCUGUAUCAGGGUCUGUUUUCUCCACCCAUUCCAUUUACAUUGAAUAGGUCAUUGGAAGCCAACUAGGUGGAACUAAUUUGGCACAGAAGUGUGGAGUGACUGGGCAUAGUGUCACAUGAAGCCACUGGGAUGUAAUGAGGAAUACUUGAUUAGUGUUAAGCAAGAGAACACGGCUGUUUAAGCCAAGUGUGGAAUAGGAAUGUGCUCAGUGAUGUGUAGUUAAAGGUGUUAUUCAAUAUUUAUGUUCUUUGUAAUUAGUUUUUUUUUUUUUAUAUUCAUGAAUAUUUAAUUCAAAUUGUUUAAUUAUAUAACAAAUUUAGAUUUACAGAAUACAUGUAAAAUUCUCAUAUAAAUUCAUGUAUCGAAUGAGGCAAAAUUGAAGCUGUUUGUAGGCAUUUUAAACAUUUUAAUAUUUUCCAGGAUCAUUAUAAACGUUUCUUUAGUUAAUAGUUAAUUAGUUUUUUUUUUAUAUCAUGAAUAUUAAUUCAAAUUGGUUA